rnacentral:lncRNA from 1 species
AAGCUUAGACGUGAGCCUGUUGGGAGGAAGGAGGACGUGCACAGUUUGCUUUUGAAAUGCUGCCAGGGUGCCCACAGAGGUUGUGUUGAUUAACAAGCCCUUCCAAGGGCACAUGCCUAAGUGAACAUACUUUCAUGCACCCUGGCUCCAAGUAGCUCAUUGAUAUUUGCCGGUAGGCUAAGUGAAAAUAAGUUGCUGCUUACACUUCUCAGAAAGGAGUUGAGUAUAUUUUAAUACAUGUCCAGGUGUUGCUUUUUCUCCCCUUUGCCCAUGUUUUCCAAUGCAUGCUUACCUUUUGCCAUUUGAUUUGGAAAGUCUUGUUUCCUAUAGAGAAAAUUAGCCCUUGGUCAGCAACAUAUUUUGCAAAUACAUGCUCCUCACAACCUGUCCUUGGUCUCAUGGUUUUCAUUGUUCGUGGCAUUUUUAUUUUCUAUCUUUAGCCCCCAAUUUUUUUUUGUCUUUCUAGGGCGGCACCUGUGGUAUAUGGAAGUUCCCAGGCUAGGGGUCGAAUUGGAGCUGUAUCCACCAGCCUACACCACAGCCACAGCAACGCCAGAUCCAAGCUAUGUCUUCAACCUACACCACAGCUCAUGGCAAUGCCAGAUCCUUAACCCACUGAGCAAGGUCAGGGAUUGAACCUGCAUCCUCAUAGAUGCUAGUCAGAUUUGUUUCCACUGAGCCAUGAUAGGAACUCCACUAAUAUUUUUAUAAUAUUUUUAUUUUAUGCAGUGAAACAAUGUUUUUCUUGACGAGAUCUCAGUUUUAUGGCGUAGGGCAUGUUUCUUUUCAGGAACACAGGAAUAGGCCUUCCCUAUUCCUGUUUUAUUACCAUCAAAUAACUCUGCUUUGUUUGCCCAGAGUCGUUGAACAGCUUAACUUUGAGACUGAGCUCUUUGAUCCAGUUGGACUCAGCCAUCCAUGGAAUAAUCCAUCCCCCCGCCCCCCGAUUUGAGUGCUUAUCAGCUUUGCACUUUGUGAUUUUGCUGAUCCUCUUCCUCAAAAGAAAACACAAGUCAAUAGUAAAUACUCCUGAUCUUUGGGUUAUGGUGACUGUUUCAAAUACCAGUCUAAGCUCCCUUAAGCUGCCUCUGCCAACACCAAUUUUUAUCAUUGUUAUUGUUGUGCUGUGUUCUCCAAAAUCCGUACGGCAAAGACCUAACCGCCAGUACAUAAGCAUAUGGCCUUAUUUGAAAAGGGGGUCUUGGCAGAGGAAAGCAGUGCAGAUGAGGUCAUAGCAGGGUAGAGUGGCCCCCACUCCGAUGUGAAGGGUGUCCUUAGAAAAAGGGGGGAUUUGGACACAAACACGUGCUCAGGGGGAGCAUCGUGUAAAGAUGAAGGCAGAGACCUGGGUGGUGCGUCUCCAAGGAACACCAAAGACUGUCAACAACCCCCAGAAGCCAGGACAGAGGCCUGGCACAGCCCUUCCAUCACCAUCUUCAGGAGAAGCCAAACUGUGGACACCAUGAUCCCAAGACUCCAGCCUCCGGACUGCAAGACAACAGCUUUCCAUUGAUAAAGCCCCCAGCUCCAUGAUGCUUCGUCAUGGCAGCCCUAGCAAACCAACACUACAAUUAUAGGGAAAGUUUUUAACUUCUUACUUACAAUGGGAGGUCAGUCCAUUUGCUGUUGGAGAAGCUUCGACGGGGAACCUGGGUGCAGGUGGGCCUCACACAGACAUCAGGCCCAGCUCAGGCCAUCCAUGAAAGGCACUCCUGGCUUCGUCCUGACCACCCCACACGGGGUGGCAUUGUGAGUGGCCAGGUCAGCAGUGGAUCGCAAAUCCCAGGCCCUCUCCCUCUGCCUACCCAAAUACCAAGUCCUUCCCCUGUGGUACAUCAGGAAAGAGCUGGCCCCCAGUCCAACCAGCAACCCAUUGUGGUGAGGCACCUCCCCCCUAGCCCACCUCCUCCACCCCUCCCUCACUCCCCCUACCUUCCCCACCUCCACUNCGGAUGCUAUCAGCUCCUAGCAGAACUCUGCCCGUUCAAGCCCUGGGCUUGGCUUCCUUCCCGUCUCCCCUCCCCCCCCCUCAGCUGGGAUCUUUCCUUCCCUCUUCCUGCAAACAAACAAACAUGCUGAGCUGCAAAAACGGACCAUUCUGACCCCUGAAGGAAGUGCAUCUGCGGUUCCUCAGCUGAGAAGUAUUAUCUGCAAUGUGCUCAUAAAACUACAGAAAAGCCAAUGGGCCGAGAGAAGGAGGCCGCAGGGAAAGGAUGAUCCUUUGGGAGACCCCGAGGAAGGAUUUAUUCUGAGAUGCUCUCUUUAAAUGCUGUUUUUAAAAAGCACGAGCCUUGCAAAUCCCUCCAGGAAUGGGGGUUUCUCAACUGCCACGUCACACAGGCACCCACAGCCACGUCUGUCACCGGGGAAUCCACAUUUGCAACACUGGCUCCUUCUUUUUCUGCAGACAAGACUUUUCUUUCGGGAUGGCUUCCUGUUUCUAUUGGAAUUUUGGGUGAUGUCUUGUGGCCCAUUUCCUCCCUUGGGAACACACAGCUGAAGAAUCAUAAUGUGAAUCAGGAUGGUCACGUGGCUCAGGGGACACGCUUUUCCAGGAAUGCGGCCCUCACUUGACGUGACGCCAGAGAUGAGAGGCAGUGGGUGGGAGCAAGCUGGAUCCACUUGGCAAGGCGGGCCUGGAUGUUGGAGCUCUGAUUUGGCCCAAGCACCCUUCCCAAGGGUCCACUGCUUCCUGAAACACCCCUGCCUUUGCUCCCGGUUGCUCCAGAGCCCCAGAAAGCUGGGGCUUGCAGCGUCUUCCCAGCUAGCUGCAGGGUGGAUGGAGCCCCUUCAUUUGUUCUCAGCAUCUUCCCAGAAGGCUGCAGGGCAGAUGGAGCACCAUCAGUAGAUCUCAGGCCGACAGAGGACCACUCUGGUCACUGCUCAGCCUGGCCCUUGCUGACACCUUUUUCUCAGACUUCUGGCUUCCAGAUUUAAAAGAGAAUAAAUCUCUGUUUUAAGCCACCCACUUUAUGGUGACUUGUCAUGGCAGCCAUGGGAAUCGAACACACCAUCCCUCCAAGUAAUCCCCCACCUUCUGCUAGCUCCUCAGAGACCAUCUAAAUAAUGUCUGUGGAAUAAAGGAACCAACAAAACAGAAAGGUCCAGGGACUAGGCCCAGGCCGGUCCCUCAAUUGGCAAGCAUCCCAGACCUCUCUUCCCCAAAUAAAUAGAGCAAUAGGUACCCAUCACCUUCAACCAUCAGCUGAGACUAGCAUCUCACACCCUACCUCAAAUUACAUAGGGGCCCAACCGCAGGUGGUAUCAGUUGGUCAAGGUGACUUCCCAGAGCCUUGACCUUCCAAAAAAACACCCUCUUUACCUUCUCUUCUUUUUUCUUAUUCUUUUGUGGCCAGCUGACUUCACUAGCAUAACUCACCAGUCACAUACACAUUCACAGAGAGAAAGUUUAAUGAACAUCAAGAUAAGAAAACAUCACUCAUGUGUUUCCUUUUGGAAUCAAAAAAGGUUAUAGAGUAUCCAACUGAGUGCAGACAUUCCUAAGGAAACAAGCCCCUCAGGGGACAGACCAGAGUGAAGCCCACAGAAUUGUGCACACGCCUCUCCUGUCAGAAGCUCCUGAUCAAAUUACAGGUUUAUAUUCAGCUCAGGACAAUACAGGAGCCUGGGCUAAAUUCACCAAUAAGCAUCUGUCACUCUCAUCUCAGACUGAAACCAACCCAGGAACUAUGCACAGAAGAUGAAGAGCAGGGCCCAAUCAGAGAAGCUUGGCGAGUAAUCAAAUUACCAUCUGGCUCUUUCUAGAUCAUCCUUCACUUAGAUUGAAUUAUCCCUGCCAACACUUGGGAAUUUCCUCCCCUAAUGUGAGAGUUUCAAGUUGUUGCAUCACAUGAAAGAUGCCAGGAAACAUCAAGCAUGAGAAUACUCAACCCUUAGAGAAGUAGAUUCAAGAGGAAAUCUGGACCUCGGCAGUGCCUUUUCUGACUGGGUUCGAGGGAGUAAGAUCUUUACUCUUGGAUUCAUAUCAGACAGAUUUCUCGAGGUUCCUUAGAAACUUUUCAGUUGACUUGGGGAGGGGCGGGGUGUCAUAGCUCCCUCCAUGACCAACAUGGUCCUCAGCCCAGGGCCUUUGAUGGGAACCUCUGGCGGAACACAAAGUCUGCCGGAAACAGGGAGCAUCGCCCACUGGGCACAGUGGACUGAGAGCCCUGAGGACCCAGAGGUGAAGGCUCAUGAGGAUGGCGGCUGCAGUGUUCUGCACAGUACACGUAUUAGCCUGGGCUCUCCAGAGAAACAGAACCAAUAGGAAAGAGGUUGACAGAUGAUAGAUAAUAGGUAGUCGAUGGAUACAGAUAGGUAGAUGAUAGAUAAAGAGUGUUAUUGUAAGGAAUUAGGUCACAUAGCUGUGGAGGCCAAGACGUCCCAAAACCUACAGUUGGCAAGUUGGGCACCCCAGAGAGCCAAUGGCGUAGGUCUAGUCCAGUCCAAAUCUGAAGAUAGAAGGCCAAGGGCCCAGCUCAGAGACAGUCAAGCAGGGGAAGGAAACCCUCUCUUCCUCCAGCUUCUUGUUCUAUUCAGACCUUUAAUGAAUUGGAUGAGCUCCACCCACUGGGGGGCGGGGGGACUCUGCUUUACUCAGCCCAGCAUAGAAAAUAUUAACUUUAUCCAGAAACACCCACGCAGACACACCCAGGAUAAUGUUUGACCAUGUAUCUGGGUUCCUGGUGACCCCAUCAAGCUGAAAGCUCACAUACAAUGAACCACCACAGUAUGGAUACCGUCGGUUUCAAUGGUUUCAGUGGCAGCCCCAUGGGCCCCACAGUCAGCUGGUCUGCUGCUCCAUGGCUCAGGCAGUGAGCAUCCUUGGAGCCUUGUGCAGUCUGAGAACUUUCGGUGUUGUGGGGGAGGGUGAAACAUACUAGAGGGUCUCUGGAAGCACAAGGUUGAGAAACAGCCCCACCCCAAGACUGAAACAGGCACGACCUUGGCAGCAGAGGAACUGUUUGGAAGCCAACAGAAACAGUGCCACCAUGCAGGUGCCCUCGUCCCUGGCUGAUGGGACCAGGGCCACAGUCUGUGGUGAGCAGAGUUCUGUUAUCUUCACACACACCAUUCUUGGCCACCUACUUCACUCUGAUCUGUCCCCAGAGGACUUGCUUCCUCAGGAAUUUCUGCACUGAGCUGGAAUCUUCAUAUGCUUUAUUCACUCCAAAAGGGGAAAAAAAAUGAAUGAGCAACAACCAAGAAUGGGCAGUUCUUUAUAGACACUCCAGGCCGGCAGGGGAAACCAGCUGAGAUUGAAUGGGAUCUACCCAUCUAGCUUUU